GCUGGUGGAGGUUGUGUUCUAGCACAUACAGAGGUGUGUGUGGUGUGGUGGUGUGUGUGGUGUGUGUGGUGUGUGUGGUGUGUGGUGUGUGUGUACCUCUCGUAUGAGCUGGUGGAGGUUGUGUUCCAGCACAUACAGAGGUGUGUGUGGUGUGUGUGGUGUGUGUGGUGUGUGUGUGUGGUGUGGUGUGUGUGUGUACCUCUCGUAUGAGCUGGUGGAGGUUGUGUUCCAGCACAUACAGAGGUGUGUGUGGUGUGUGUGGUGUGUGUGUGUGUGUGUGUGUACCUCUCGUAUGAGCUGGUGGAGGUUGUGUUCCAGCACAUACAGAGGUGUGUGUGGUGUGUGUGUGUGGUGUGUGUGUGUACCUCUCGUAUGAGCUGGUGGAGGUUGUGUUCUAGCACAUACAGAGGUGUGUGUGGUGUGUGUGGUGUGUGUGUGUGUGU